rnacentral:tRNA from 1 species
GCCUGAGUGGCUCAGUGGUUCAGUGUCUGACUUCGGCUCAGGUUAUGGUCCUGGGGUCCUGGGAUCGAGUCCCACAUCGGGCU